AACGAACGCUGGCGGCAUGCCUAACACAUGCAAGUCGAACGAGACCUUCGGGUCUAGUGGCGCACGGGUGCGUAACGCGUGGGAACCUGCCCUUAGGUUCGGAAUAACUCCCCGAAAGGGGUGCUAAUACCGGAUAAUGUCUUCGGACCAAAGAUUUAUCGCCUUUGGAUGGGCCCGCGUUGGAUUAGCUAGUUGGUAGGGUAAAAGCCUACCAAGGCGACGAUCCAUAGCUGGUCUGAGAGGAUGAUCAGCCACACUGGGACUGAGACACGGCCCAGACUCCUACGGGAGGCAGCAGUGGGGAAUAUUGGACAAUGGGCGAAAGCCUGAUCCAGCAAUGCCGCGUGAGUGAUGAAGGCCUUAGGGUAGUAAAGCUCUUUUACCCGGGAUGGUAAUGACAGUACCGGGAGAAUAAGCUCCGGCUAACUCCGUG
rnacentral:rRNA from 1 species